rnacentral:rRNA from 1 species
GGGUUGUGAGGUUAAGCGACUAAGCGUACACGGUGGAUGCCCUGGCAGUCAGAGGCGAUGAAGGGCGUGCUAAUCUGCGAUAAGCGCCGGUAAGGUGAUAUGAACCGUUAUAACCGGCGAUACCCGAAUGGGGAAACCCAGUGUGACUCGUCACACUAUCAUUAACUGAAUCCAUAGGUUAAUGAGGCGAACCGGGGGAACUGAAACAUCUAAGUACCCCGAGGAAAAGAAAUCAACCGAGAUUCCCCCAGUAGCGGCGAGCGAACGGGGAGGAGCCCAGAGCCUGAAUCAGCAUGUGUGUUAGUGGAAGCGUCUGGAAAGGCGCGCGAUACAGGGUGACAGCCCCGUACACAAAAGCGCAUGUGCUGUGAGCUCGAUGAGUAGGGCGGGACACGUGGUAUCCUGUCUGAAUAUGGGGGGACCAUCCUCCAAGGCUAAAUACUCCUGACUGACCGAUAGUGAACCAGUACCGUGAGGGAAAGGCGAAAAGAACCCCGGCGAGGGGAGUGAAAAAGAACCUGAAACCGUGUACGUACAAGCAGUGGGAGCACCCUUUGGGGUGUGACUGCGUACCUUUUGUAUAAUGGGUCAGCGACUUAUAUUCUGUAGCAAGGUUAACCGUAUAGGGGAGCCGGAGGGAAACCGAGUCUUAACCGGGCGUUAAGUUGCAGGGUAUAGACCCGAAACCCGGUGAUCUAGCCAUGGGCAGGUUGAAGGUUGGGUAACACUAACUGGAGGACCGAACCGACUAAUGUUGAAAAAUUAGCGGAUGACCUGUGGCUGGGGGUGAAAGGCCAAUCAAACCGGGAGAUAGCUGGUUCUCCCCGAAAGCUAUUUAGGUAGCGCCUCGUGAAUUCAUCUCCGGGGGUAGAGCACUGUUUCGGCUAGGGGGCCAUCCCGGCUUACCAACCCGAUGCAAACUGCGAAUACCGGAGAAUGUUAUCACGGGAGACACACGGCGGGUGCUAACGUCCGUCGUGAAGAGGGAAACAACCCAGACCGCCAGCUAAGGUCCCAAAGUCAUGGUUAAGUGGGAAACGAUGUGGGAAGGCCCAGACAGCCAGGAUGUUGGCUUAGAAGCAGCCAUCAUUUAAAGAAAGCGUAAUAGCUCACUGGUCGAGUCGGCCUGCGCGGAAGAUGUAACGGGGCUAAACCAUGCACCGAAGCUGCGGCAGCGACGCUUAUGCGUUGUUGGGUAGGGGAGCGUUCUGUAAGCCUGUGAAGGUGGCCUGUGAGGGUUGCUGGAGGUAUCAGAAGUGCGAAUGCUGACAUAAGUAACGAUAAAGCGGGUGAAAAGCCCGCUCGCCGGAAGACCAAGGGUUCCUGUCCAACGUUAAUCGGGGCAGGGUGAGUCGACCCCUAAGGCGAGGCCGAAAGGCGUAGUCGAUGGGAAACGGGUUAAUAUUCCCGUACUUGGUGUUACUGCGAAGGGGGGACGGAGAAGGCUAUGUUGGCCGGGCGACGGUUGUCCCGGUUUAAGCGUGUAGGUGUGUGUUCCAGGUAAAUCCGGUUCACUUUAACACUGAGGCGUGAUGACGAGGCACUACGGUGCUGAAGCAACAAAUGCCCUGCUUCCAGGAAAAGCCUCUAAGCAUCAGGUAACAUCAAAUCGUACCCCAAACCGACACAGGUGGUCAGGUAGAGAAUACCAAGGCGCUUGAGAGAACUCGGGUGAAGGAACUAGGCAAAAUGGUGCCGUAACUUCGGGAGAAGGCACGCUGACACGUAGGUGAAGUGAUUUACUCAUGGAGCUGAAGUCAGUCGAAGAUACCAGCUGGCUGCAACUGUUUAUUAAAAACACAGCACUGUGCAAACACGAAAGUGGACGUAUACGGUGUGACGCCUGCCCGGUGCCGGAAGGUUAAUUGAUGGGGUCAGCGCAAGCGAAGCUCCUGAUCGAAGCCCCGGUAAACGGCGGCCGUAACUAUAACGGUCCUAAGGUAGCGAAAUUCCUUGUCGGGUAAGUUCCGACCUGCACGAAUGGCGUAAUGAUGGCCAGGCUGUCUCCACCCGAGACUCAGUGAAAUUGAACUCGCUGUGAAGAUGCAGUGUACCCGCGGCAAGACGGAAAGACCCCGUGAACCUUUACUAUAGCUUGACACUGAACAUUGAGCCUUGAUGUGUAGGAUAGGUGGGAGGCUUUGAAGCGUGGACGCCAGUCUGCGUGGAGCCGACCUUGAAAUACCACCCUUUAAUGUUUGAUGUUCUAACGUGGACCCGUAAUCCGGGUUGCGGACAGUGUCUGGUGGGUAGUUUGACUGGGGCGGUCUCCUCCUAAAGAGUAACGGAGGAGCACGAAGGUUGGCUAAUCCUGGUCGGACAUCAGGAGGUUAGUGCAAUGGCAUAAGCCAGCUUGACUGCGAGCGUGACGGCGCGAGCAGGUGCGAAAGCAGGUCAUAGUGAUCCGGUGGUUCUGAAUGGAAGGGCCAUCGCUCAACGGAUAAAAGGUACUCCGGGGAUAACAGGCUGAUACCGCCCAAGAGUUCAUAUCGACGGCGGUGUUUGGCACCUCGAUGUCGGCUCAUCACAUCCUGGGGCUGAAGUAGGUCCCAAGGGUAUGGCUGUUCGCCAUUUAAAGUGGUACGCGAGCUGGGUUUAGAACGUCGUGAGACAGUUCGGUCCCUAUCUGCCGUGGGCGCUGGAGAACUGAGGGGGGCUGCUCCUAGUACGAGAGGACCGGAGUGGACGCAUCACUGGUGUUCGGGUUGUCAUGCCAAUGGCACUGCCCGGUAGCUAAAUGCGGAAGAGAUAAGUGCUGAAAGCAUCUAAGCACGAAACUUGCCCCGAGAUGAGUUCUCCCUGAGACUUAGAGUCUCCUGAAGGAACGUUGAAGACGACGACGUUGAUAGGCCGGGUGUGUAAGCGCAGCGAUGCGUUGAGCUAACCGGUACUAAUGAACCGUGAGGCUUAACCUUACAACGCCGAAG